rnacentral:rRNA from 1 species
GAUGAACGCUGGCGGCGUGCAUAACACAUUCCAAGUCGGAACGAGGUAGCAAUACCUAGUGGCGGACGGGUGAGUAACCGCGUGAGCAACCUGCCCUUGUGUGGGGGAUACCGUCUGGAAACGGACGUUAAUACCGGCAUAACGUUACGGAAUCGCAUGGUUCCUGUAACCAAAGAUUUAUUGCGCAAAGGGAUGGGCUCGCGUUGGAUUAGAUAGUUGGUGAGGUAACGGCCCACAAGUCUGCGAUCCAUAGCCGGACUGAGAGGUUGAACGGCCACAUUGGAACUGAGAUACGGUCCAGACUCCUACGGGAGGCAGCAGUGGGG